CCCCCCAACCACCUGGGAAAAGGAAGCAGAAAAAGGAGAAGCAGCAACUGCCACUCCACUUCCUUCGCAUCUCUCGCUCUUGGGACACGCCAGACAGCAGAAAGCAGCUCUGCGAGAGACCAGAGCCACAAGCUAAUAAUAACACAGAGCUCCUGGCAAUGUUCUGCCCUCUCUGGAGUGACACAAUGUAAAUUGGCCUUCGAUACUCUUCUAAUGAGAUCUGCCUCUACCCAAAGCCUCCCCUGCAAACACCAGGUGAGGCACGCCUAGUUCUCUCCACCCCUUGUCAAUUGACGUGUUUCCAGACUUCUUGUGUUAGACACUAAGCAUGCAAAGAUGGAUAAGGCCUCAGGCCUCAUGGAACUCUGGCUGGGGAGACAAUAGGGACAUAAUUCUCGUAAAGGUGUGAGGGUGGAAGCUCAAUUCAGCAGUUGUUUAUUGAGCACUUACUUGGGCCAGCCUCUGUGCUCGGUGUUUUACAUAGAUUAUCUCAAAUUUUCACAACUCUGCCAAAUAGAUAUUAUUCCCAUUUUAUAUAAUUUUAGAAACUGAGGCUUGGGGAGGUUGCGACCUCUUGUUGCUUGAGGGACAGAGGUGGGUGAUGGUGAUGCUAUAAUAGGAAAUAAAACUGGAAAGGAAGUUUAGGUCCGACUUGGGCCAGGCUGUUUGAAUUUUAAUAAUCAGGAGUUUGGCUCAGGGAAGCGAAACCAUGGGACUUGCCAUUUAUGAGGGUAAAUGCUUCCUCUCAGAGGAAGAGAGAUGACUGAAGGAAAUUAUUUUUAAGGGAAAUAGCUGAGAGGGGAAGCAUUUGAGGAUGGCUCAAGAUCUCAAGUCUUCAUGACCGGAGGGACUGGAACACCAUACAAGUGAGAAGGUGGGACAGGGGCUGGGGCCACUGGGUUCCGCUUUUGAAAACGCUGGGUCUGACAUUGGUUGUAGCUGUUUCCAGAUUGUUCCCUGCAGUUCCGGAGAUGGCGAGCACCUGCUGGAUACAUUUACUGGUUCUGAGCUGCUUCCAGAUAGUUCCCUGCAGUUCCGGAGAUGGCGAGCACCUGCUGGAUACAUUUGCUGGUUCCCACCCACACGGGCACUCUCUCUGAUGCUCUUACAUUUCUGCUGAGCUCAGGUCAACAUUUUCUCUCCUCCCAGCAAGCCUAAGGCCACAUGUGCUGUUCCCACAAAGGUGUCAUACUUCAGCGUACCCAACAUUUCUAUGAUUUCAUAAUGGGAAAGCCAUCUGCCACGCAGCUGGAUGUCCUGAACUUGUUUUGCUAUGUGGCCAUGAGCCCUCCUGAGGUGCCGGCAGGAGGGUGAUCUGACGAGAUCUGUGCUUGGGAAGAUAACACGCGCAGCAGCGUUUGGGUCGGGGAGGAUCCUGAAGGCAGGGGACAGGUUAGGGGAAGGCCCGAGGUGUCUUUUGACCCAUACGACUGACACCACUGGUCUGCAGGGACUGUCACCACAGCCACCCCAUCAUGUUAUAGACACUAUUUUUCCUGUUCUUUUGACAAUCCCUCUGCUUCAGCCAGGCAGGUCUCCUCGCUGACACCAGGAUGCACCAUGCUUUGCCCAGCUCCAAGUGUGUGCUCCUGUUGGACAGAGUGGGCGAGAGGGCCCGCAGGCAGCUCCGAGUGCCUACCCCAGACCCAUCAUCCUUGAAGGCAGACACGCUUGGUCUCAACAGGCCAUAGGAAGUCCCUUUUAUCAUCCCCCCAGAUAAGACUUCAAAAAAUGGACAGGAACAACAAACCAUAAUAACCAUGCCUAGCGAGUGUUAGUGCUGGUCUGCCUCCUGCUUGGACAGAUAUGAACGUCAAAUCGCUCACGUAGCAUCCUUUCCAAGGACCAAGGAGCCAUUCCUUUGAAAUGUCAUCAUCAAAGGAGACAGUCUCCCUGUUUCAGCAGGAGUCGCAGGAGCCUAACCUGGCAGAUGCUUGGCUCUGAGUUGCAAAACUACCUCCUGUCCUAAAGCUAUAAGAAGUUUGUUUUUCCUUUGGAUAAAGCCAAUUAGCUAACACAGAUGGUGACCCCAAUUACUAGUUGAAUCUAGGGUACACUCCGUGUGACAAAUGGGCUGUCAAGUGCUCUUGCCAGGGGACUCACUAGCUCUUUAUUGUUUGCCCUGGGAACACGUCAAGGGGGGGUUGGUUGCCUCUGCUCCGCUCAGUAAGAGGGUGAGGUUUCUUUCUGUCAUUGCAGUCUCUUAGGGGAUUGCCCGUGAUGCGAGUCACAUUCUGGUUGAAUGUUUAUUUAAUAAUAAAACACUUCGUUCUCUA